GGGAUUACAAGCACCCACCACCAGGCCCAGCUAAUUUUGGUCUGUUUAGUAGAAAUGGGGUUUCACCGUGUUGGUCAGGCUGGUCUCGAACUCCUGACCUCAAGUGAUCCUCCCACCUCAGCCUCCCAAAGUGCUGGGAUUACAGGCAUGAGCCACCGUGCCCAGCUAACAAUUCUCUUAAAAGAGCUACCAUCAAAAAAUCUGAAAAAAGCACUAUUUAAAAAAAAAAAUCACAGACCUGAACAUAAUGAAAUAUAACAAAUGAAUCACUCUGAAUGGUACACUCCCACAAAAAUGCCAUGCCUGGGAGUUUGAAAGAAAAGCCAACCACCUGGGCUUGGGAUUCAAUCUGUGUUUUCAGUGACGCUUGAAGGUGAAACUCUCCCUUGUAACUAGAGAGUUACAGAUCCUUAGAGAGGCGCUUCAGUGGUUUCAUUCAGCGGUUACUGCAAAAGCUGUCCAGAUAAGAAUAUGGAAUGCUCACUCCACAACAUUGUUUGUGAAAAUCUUCAGAUUUAUUUUAUUGAACAAGGCUAUAAAAGUAUUUACAGAGGAGAGGGAAAGAGAGCACAGUGGAGAGAUGCCUUGGGAGAGAGCUGUUACUGGCCAUGGUGUCAUUCUUCUUCCACAGGGAGAAGCAGAUCCAAACUGAGAAGGGAGAAGAUGUGAUAGUUGAUAUCACAACAAGCUUGAGUUUUGAUUAAUAUCUUGGACAGGACAUUCUAUGUUCCAAAUAGAGAUUGUGUGUUACAAAGUGACUGCAGGACCAAAAAUGAGUAGCAAAUUCAUGAACCUCUUAGAUUUUUUUAAUUUAGGACAUGAUGAGAUUACUGCCAGUGACUCAACUUUUAAAAUACAAGGAAUAACUAAAUAAAUAAAGUAAAAUUGCACUUUUAAUUGUAUUUUGAAGACAUCAUGAGCUGUGAUUCAUUCACUUCAUCUCAUAGAACUUCUGCUGGUGAUAAUUAU
rnacentral:lncRNA from 1 species